AACGAACGCUGGCGGCAGGCCUAACACAUGCAAGCCGAGCGAAGCCUUCGGGCUUAGCGGCGGACGGGUGAGUAACGCGUGGGAACGUGCCCUUUGGUACGGAAUAGCCCCGGGAAACUGGGAGUAAUACCGUAUGUGGUCGAGAGACGAAAGAUUUAUCGCCAAAGGAUCGGCCCGCGUUGGAUUAGGUAGUUGGUGGGGUAAUGGCCUACCAAGCCGACGAUCCAUAGCUGGUUUGAGAGGAUGAUCAGCCACACUGGGACUGAGACACGGCCCAGACUCCUACGGGAGGCAGCAGUGGGGAAUCUUAGACAAUGGGGGAAACCCUGAUCUAGCCAUGCCGCGUGAUCGAUGAAGGCCUUAGGGUUGUAAAGCUCUUUUACCCGGGAUGAUAAUGACAGUACCGGGAGAAUAAGCCCCGGCUAACUCCGUGCCAGCAGCCGCAGUAACAC
rnacentral:rRNA from 1 species